GACGAACGCUGGCGGCGUGCUUAACACAUGCAAGUCGAGCGAUGAAGCUCCUUCGGGAGUGGAUUAGCGGCGGACGGGUGAGUAACACGUGGGUAACCUGCCUCAUAGAGGGGAAUAGCCUUUCGAAAGGAAGAUUAAUACCGCAUAAGAUUGUAGUUUCGCAUGAAACAGCAAUUAAAGGAGUAAUCCGCUAUGAGAUGGACCCGCGUCGCAUUAGCUAGUUGGUGAGGUAACGGCUCACCAAGGCGACGAUGCGUAGCCGACCUGAGAGGGUGAUCGGCCACAUUGGGACUGAGACACGGCCCAGACUCCUACGGGAGGCAG
rnacentral:rRNA from 1 species